UUGUAUCAGUGAGUGGGACGUGGGCAGGACAGUCCUGCCCAGAGGACAGGCAGGAUGACGGCCUGGUCCCCUGGGGGAGCUGUCACACCGUAGGAGAGGCUGUUUGAGGAAGUGCUGCUCAGGUUUCAGUUGAGCUUUAGGUUUCUGCCUGGCAAAGCGUUACAGGCUUGGCCAGCAUUGUGAUUCCACAUCAGAGGAAGCGUAGUUUUGGGGGGAAAAAAACACGAGUUGAAGAUGCCUUAUCAUCUGAUGUCUGCUAGGCAAGCUCUCUGGUAAUUAGUGACCUCUGUUGAGUCCAAGUAGUUACCUUGCCUAUUGGGUUCUAUUGGGUAUUUUAAUUUUGAGGGAGUUCAUUUUGGCUGUACUGCUAGAGUGCUGGAAUAGAGCUAUGUCCAUAAAACCAGUAGCUCAGUCUCUUCCCAUAAUUCUGUUUUUUGGUGUUUUUUUUGUUUUUUUAAUAAGACUUUCUCUUGGAGCUUUGCUUAUUAUGUGCUCAUUGCUACCUGCCUUGGAAGUUAUUCAUGAACCUAUAAGCUACUAGGCUACUGUGAAGUGUGUGAUUGUUCAGACUUCUUGUUUCAAAAGAGGUUUUUUAACCUUAAGUAUAGACCAGUUAUACUGCCAGGAAACCUGAAUAUACUUUAAACAUGGCAUAAGCCUCAAUCAAGGACAGUUCCACUUUGUCUACGUAAGUCUGAGCAUUCCAGCAUGCCAAGCUUCAGACGUGAGUUGCUGCUUGGCACUUAGAGCUUUCAUUCAACAAUUUGAGGCAAAGAUCAGAUCCUCUGGGUAGCGAGGGUGUCAGCAGCAUGACUGAUGCGCUGAGCCUCCUUGGGAGGAUGCCUGUCAAAUAAAUUCUUGUUAUGCUGCCUCCUGCCAGGUGACCACAGAGAUCUGCCAGAAGCUCAGGGGAGAGCCAGUUGUUGGUCUUCCGAGCCAGAAAGGAGGCAUUGUUGUAAGAUGAAGCGGCCAGCGGGAGAGGACAGCAGCUUGCAGACAAGUUUUCUUCAUUAUGGUUGAGAAAGUUUGAACAUUUGAAAAAAAAAAAGAAGACGAAAUGACCAUUAAUGUGCACAACCCUCCCUGCGUAUGAGAGAGCAGUACCUGGUGCCAGGAGGAUUUUCCACAAUUAAGAGCCUCUGGAAAAGCUGAACUGAGGCCUGAACAUGAUACAGACUUCAGACUGGAUCUUUCCUAAAUCCUAAGAAGUCUUUGGUUGAGGUCCUCUUGGGCCAGGAGUGCUCCCAUGUGAAGCUGUCCCAGCAGAAACACUGCAUCCAAGUUGAUCAGGGCACGGGUAUCAUGUCCUGUUUCCAAAGCAUCCACAAAGAGCUUGGAAAUCCUCUCCCCAAACUCCACGUUGUCGCUGCAGCCUCCCCAGACCCAGCCUCGGCCACCUGCAAGGCAAACAAGACGGUCCUGUCAUCAGAAAGUUAUUCACCGACCUGAAACAAAGAAAGGAAAAUGAGCCGCGCCAUUUAACACAGGCUCAAGAGCAUCCCCCCACACACCCUGAAACCUACCACGCUGCUGCAUUGAGAACAGCCCCAGAGAU